CUCAUACACACACUUUCUCUCAUACAAACACUUUCUCUCACACAACACACGACACGCUUUUCUCUCAUACAAACACACGCUUUUCCUCACACAACACACACACACUUCUCUCAUACAAACACACACACACUUUCUCUCAUACAAACACACACACACUUUCUCUCAAACACACACACAACAACGCUUUCCUCUCAUACAACACAACACGCACGAUUUCUCUCAUACAAACACACCGACGCUUUCUCUCUACACAACACACCACCUUCUCUCAUACACACACUUUCUCUCAUACAAACAUUUCUCUUCACACAAAACACAAACACCACGCUUUCUCUCACACAAACACACACACGCUUUCUCUCACACAAAACACACACGCACGCUUCUCUCAUACAAACAACACGACACGCACGCUUUCUCUCUCACAACACACAACGCACAAAACGCACGCUUUUCUCUUCACACACAAACACACGCACGCUUUCUGUCACACAAAACAACGUACGCUUUUCUCUCACACAAACCACACGCAUGCUUUCUCUCACACAAACACACGCACGUUUCUCCUCACACAAACACACGCACGCUUUCUAUCAUACACAACGCUUUCUCUCGUACAAACACACGCACGCUUUCUCUCAUACACACACUUUCUCUCAUACAAACACACGCACGCUUUCUCUCAUACAAACACACGCUUUCUCUCAUACAAGACACUUUCUCUCAUACAAACACACGCACGCUUCCUUCAUACAAACACACGCACACUUUCUCUCAUACAACACACACCUUUCUCUCAUAAACAAACACGGUCUCUCAACACACUUUCUCUCAUACAAACACACGCACACUUUCUCUCAACACACACACUACUCUCAUACAAACACACGCACGCUUUCCUCUCAUACAAACACACGCACGCUUUCUCUCAUACAAACACACCACGCUUUCCUCAUACAAACACACGCACGCUUCUCUCAUACAAACACACGCACGCUUUCUCUCUACAAACACACGCACACUUUCUCUCACACAAACACACGCACGCUUCUCUCAUACAAACACACGCACGCUUUCUCUCAUACAAACACGCACACUUCUCUCAUACACACACUUUCUCUCACACAAACCACGCACGCUUUUCUCUACACAACCAACGCACCUUUCUCUCAUACAAACACACGCACACUUUCUCUCACAAACACACGCUUUCUCUCAUACACAAACACACGCACCGCUUUCUCUCACACAACACACGCACGCUUUCUCUCAUACAAACCAAAACGCACGCUUUCUCUCAUCAACACACUUUCUCUCAUACAAAAACAACGCACCACACGCUCUCUCAUACAAACACACGCACGCUCCUCUCAUACACACACACGCUUUCUCUCACACAAACACACACGCACGCUUUCUCUCCCACAACCACGCAACGCGUUCUCUCAUACAACACACGCACGCUUUCUCUCAUACAAACCAACACACGCUUUCUCUCAUACACACACACGCACCUUUCUCUCAUACAAAC
rnacentral:lncRNA from 1 species